rnacentral:rRNA from 1 species
GAUGAACGCUGGCGGCGCGCCUAACACAUGCAAGUCGAACGAUUAAAGCACCUUCGGGUGUGUAUAAAGUGGCGAACGGCUGAGUAACACGUGGGCAACCUGCCCCUUUCAUUGGGAUAGCCACGGGAAACCGUGGAUAAUACCGAAUACUUCGAGACUUCCGCAUGGAAGACUCGAGAAAGCUCCGGCGGAGAGGGAUUGGCCCGCGGCCUGUUAGCUUGUUGGUGGGGUAACGGCCUACCAAGGCAAUGAUGGGUAGCUGGGUUGAGAGACCGACCAGCCAGAUUGGGACUGAGACACGGCCCAGACUCCUACGGGAGGCAGAAGUGGGGAGUCUUGCACAAUGGGCGCAAGCCUGAUGCAGCGACGCCGCGUGCGGGAUGAAGGCCUUCGGGUUGUAAACCGCUUUCAGCAGGGACGAGGCGAAAGUGACGGUACCUGCAGAAGAAGCCCCGGCUAACUACGUG